rnacentral:tRNA from 1 species
GCCCCGCUAGUGAUAUUGGUAGCACACUUCUCUCGUAAAGAAGAAGACUCGGUUCGAUUCCGAGGCGGGGCUC